rnacentral:rRNA from 1 species
GGUGAACGCUGGCGGCGUGCUUAACACAUGCAAGUCGAACGAAGCAUUUGCGACAGAUUUUUUCGGAAUGAAGUUGCUUAUGACUGAGUGGCGGACGGGUGAGUAACGCGUGGGUAACCUGCCUUGUACUGGGGGAUAGCAGCUGGAAACGGCUGGUAAUACCGCAUAAGCGCACAAUGUUGCAUGACAUGGUGUGAAAAACUCCGGUGGUAUAAGAUGGACCCGCGUCUGAUUAGCUAGUUGGUGAGAUAACAGCCCACCAAGGCGACGAUCAGUAGCCGACCUGAGAGGGUGACCGGCCACAUUGGGACUGAGACACGGCCCAGACUCCUACGGGAGGCAGCAGUGGGGAAUAUUGCACAAUGGAGGAAACUCUGAUGCAGCGACGCCGCGUGAGUGAAGAAGUAAUUCGUUAUGUAAAGCUCUAUCAGCAGGGAAGAUAGUGACGGUACCUGACGAAGAAGCUCCGGCUAAAUACGUG